CUUCCUGAGGGGGAUAUGAGAAAGCAAUGGUCUCAUCUUUCCCUUUUGUAACGGUUCCUCUGCAGAUGUCUAAUGAGGUCUAAUGAAAGCUGCAUCUCACAAAGGACAGUGGUAAUACCAAUUUGAAACAGAUUGCUAAACGCACAUUCAGGGUCCUGAGGUCAAUGGGUUUUUUGACUUGAAAUAAGCUUUUACUUGUCUUGUAAAAGGCGGUCGCUAAUAAGUGGCUAAAUGGACUACAGAAGCUGCCGGGGACAUUAAACGUCAUCAGCCGAACAGUUCAAGGUGAGCAGCAUUGGACGGUUCCUUAAGAAAAUCCAUCCAGCUGAAUAAUUGAAGUGUCUGAAAACCAUCCAUGAAUAUGCAAGAGGGGAAUCAAAGUGUCUCAACCUCUCUCUUCCAUUGGCCUCCUCUGGGAUUCAACAGCACAUCUGGGCUGCAGAGGAAGAAACACUCAUUGUACAGCACUAAAGACCUCUGCCUCAGCAUGAUGGGUGUUACUGAAAUUAAAUUAAAUAAAAUUUAAUCAAAUCAAAUGUGCUAAUGGGCUGAUAGCAAGAUAUGUGUGUGCCACUGCUUGUAAUAAACAUGUAAUAGCCAUGCAGGAGAUUUAACCAGCAUGUUGACCUAUUUGGUUAAUGUAAUAUGCAAUCAUAUUUAAAAGCAUGUGCAUGAAUUAUAAUCAAUUAUUUUAUUUUUGUAUAAAUUUGUAAGCCACAUUGUAUAAAUUCAAAAUGUAAAAUCAUCAAUUACUGAUGGCUAUUUUAGUAUGUCUUGUGUGUUUCACUCACAUUCAGAUUUCUGUUUCACAGUUGCAAAACUGAUUUUCUCCGAUUGUGUAAUUUUAAAUAAAUUGAACAUAAUAAUGUUUAAUGUAUACAAGAAGCUGUAAGAAAUUAAAGUCACUCUUUUGGACAGUUCAUCUGUAGGAGGAAUUGCAAAUCCAAUGUAAAUUUCAGACAGGCCUUCCACAAGAAUGGUCUAAUCCCACACCUUUACUCACACAGUGUGCUAUAAGCUUGAAUCAGGAAAGAGUGGAAUUAUCAAACAUGGAAGAGGGUUUAGAUUAGUCCAUAAGGAGGUUCAUUUGCAUAAGCAUAAGCACACACACAGACUCGGCUGCUUUACUUUUCAUGAAUAAAUGUCCGCAAUAAGUGGAGGUUUAGGAGUAUUGGGUUUGUUAUAUGAAAGUUUAUGCAAAAUCCACCAACUGUGAAUCAUUAGUCUGGUGUCUGUUAUAAAUGUAAUGCCCGACAUUUUCUCAAAUGCACUCUUGCUUUUAAUCAGCACUUAUUAUAUCCAAUGCUCUCAAAUAAAAUGACAUGAAUUAUAAAAUGAACAA